rnacentral:rRNA from 1 species
GAUGAACGCUGGCGGCGUGCUUAACACAUGCAAGUCGAACGAGAAAUGUAGACGGAAACCUUCGGGCGGAAGCCUUCAUUUCGAGUGGCGGACGGGUGAGUAACGCGUGGGUAACCUGCCUCAUACAGGGGGAUAACAGUUGGAAACGACUGUUAAUACCGCAUAAGACCACAGCAUCGCAUGAUGCGGGGGUAAAAACUCCGGUGGUAUGAGAUGGACCCGCGUUCGAUUAGCCAGUUGGCGGGGUAACGGCCCACCAAAGCGACGAUCGAUAGCCGAUCUGAGAGGAUGACCGGCCACAUUGGGACUGAGACACGGCCCAAACUCCUACGGGAGGCAGCAGUGGGGAAUAUUGCACAAUGGGGGAAACCCUGAUGCAGCGACGCCGCGUGAGUGAAGAAGUACCUCGGUAUGUAAAGCUCUAUCAGCAGGGAAGAAAAUGACGGUACCUGAGUAAGAAGCCCCGGCUAACUACGUG